rnacentral:rRNA from 1 species
GCCUGUGCCUUUGUGGUCCCUGCCAGAGUGAUCUUGGAAGCUAAGCAGAGUUGGGACUGGUUAGUACUUGGAUGGGAGACCAUCUAGGAAGACCAGAUGCUGUAGGCA